GGGGAACUUCCAACAGGCUGAUCCGGGAAGAGGCUUUGCCUGUUCCAAGCUUUGCAUUCUGUGGGGCCAACACAACGCGUAGCAUUUUCCCGUCAGACCUCUACAUAUGUGUUCGAGAAGACGCCUUUCAGUUUAAAGAAGCCACUUUGUUCAUCAGAGUCCUGCACAGGAACGUGGAGGUGACCUGAGGAGAAGGCUCUGCACAGAAUGGGGCCAUGCCUGGAAAGAUGGAUGGCCUUCAAGCAAUCUCUCCUGACACAUCCUGACAGUGUAUAUACUGUCCCGCUCCACCUACCUGGGAUGGGCCUCCCCCCAAAGGUGAUAUUGACGUCAUAGUCGCCGGGCGUGAAGGGGAUGUAAUCCACAGUGCAGCUCCCAUCUUUGUUAUCCUUGCACGACAUUUUGGCCUCCGACGGCCCUUCAAUGGCCAGACCGAGGCCACCGGUUCCUGCGCCCCUGUGGAGGCAACCGUGCCAUCAGAGAGACCCACCGCAGAACAGACUCCCACCAGGAAAAGUCUGUUCCCAUUUCUAGCAGGCACCAAACCCAGUGCUGAGGGAUACACACCCUGGCAUCCAGCCCAGCAAUAUUUAGAAAGCCGGCAAAGCCCUGAAAUGUAGGAAAGGUCUCAUCACUCAUUGGCAGAGGGCAUGCUUUGUAUGCAGAAGGAACCAGGUUCAAUCCCCAGAUUAAAACGAAAACAACAAAAAAUGGCACCAUGUGUUUAAAAAUACUUCCUUCUGCCUGCCCUGAACCACCAGUUUCAUGGGUGACCAGGAGUUCUUGUAUUAUAAGAGAGAGACUACCAUCUAUCUGUGUCAGGGAUGGGAAACCUGCCCCCCCCCAAAGUGAUGCUGAGCUCCAACCUCUAUCCACCCCUGCAAAGAUGGCCAAUGGCCAAGGAUCAUGGGUGUCGGAGUCCAACAAGAUAUGAAGGGCUACAGGCUCCCCAACCCUGACCUCCAUUCAUCAGUGAGAAGCCCUUGGAUAAAUCCCUCACCCAGACGUCUUUUCUAAAAGCUCAAAUUCUCUGUGCGACAUGCUGUGGCCUACCGUACAAGGCAGGCAGGUGUUUCGAAUGGCCAAGACUGACAACAGCCGCUGAGGAGGGCGCACAGUCCCAUGGAGAAGGCCCCAGGUCCAGUACCCACUUAAAAGAUCUUGGGUUGUAGGCAAAGGGGAAGACCCUUCAGUGCCUGAGCUCCUGAAGAACUGCUGCCAGUCAGAGCAGGCCAUGGGAGGUGAACCUCAUCCCUAAGGGCCAAAUGUGGCCCUCCAGGUCUCUCUUGCUGGCCCUUCUCACUCAACUCUCCUCACGCCGCACUCCUCAUCGGUC